rnacentral:rRNA from 1 species
ACAGAAUGCUAGUGUUGGGAGGGUUUCCGCCCUUCAGUGCUGCAGCAAACGCAUUAAGCACUCCGCCUGGGGAGUACGACCGCAAGGUUGAAACUCAAAGGAAUUGACGGGGGCCCGCACAAGCGGUGGAGCAUGUGGUUUAAUUCGAAGCAACGCGAAGAACCUUACCAGGUCUUGACAUCCUUUGACCACUCUAGAGAUAGAGCUUUCCCUUCGGGGACAAAGUGACAGGUGGUGCAUGGUUGUCGUCAGCUCGUGUCGUGAGAUGUUGGGUUAAGUCCCGCAACGAGCGCAACCCUUAUUGUUAGUUGCCAUCAUUUAGUUGGGCACUCUAGCGAGACUGCCGGUGACAAACCGGAGGAAGGUGGGGAUGACGUCAAAUCAUCAUGCCCCUUAUGACCUGGGCUACACACGUGCUACAAUGGGAAGUACAACGAGUCGCUAGACCGCGAGGUCAUGCAAAUCUCUUAAAGCUUCUCUCAGUUCGGAUUGCAGGCUGCAACUCGCCUGCAUGAAGCCGGAAUCGCUAGUAAUCGCGGAUCAGCACGCCGCGGUGAAUACGUUCCCGGGCCUUGUACACACCGCCCGUCACACCACGAGAGUUUGUAACACCCGAAGUCGGUGAGGUAACCUUUUUGGAGCCAGCCGCCUAAGGUGGGAUAGAUGAUUGGGGUGAAGUCGUAACAAGGGUAACCAGAC